rnacentral:rRNA from 1 species
AGCUUCGCCCGCAGCGCCCCGCGCCCGGCCCGCCGCCCCCGCCCCAACGCGAAGAACCUUACCAGGUCUUGACAUCCUCUGACAACCCUAGAGAUAGGGCUUCUCCUUCGGGAGCAGAGUGACAGGUGGUGCAUGGUUGUCGUCAGCUCGUGUCGUGAGAUGUUGGGUUAAGUCCCGCAACGAGCGCAACCCUUGAUCUUAGUUGCCAUCAUUAAGUUGGGCACUCUAAGGUGACUGCCGGUGACAAACCGGAGGAAGGUGGGGAUGACGUCAAAUCAUCAUGCCCCUUAUGACCUGGGCUACACACGUGCUACAAUGGACGGUACAAAGAGCUGCAAGACCGCGAGGUGGAGCUAAUCUCAUAAAACCGUUCUCAGUUCGGAUUGUAGGCUGCAACUCGCCUACAUGAAGCUGGAAUCGCUAGUAAUCGCGGAUCAGCAUGCCGCGGUGAAUACGUUCCCGGGCCUUGUACACACCGCCCGUA